rnacentral:tRNA from 1 species
GCCCGGCUAGCUCAGUCGGUAGAGCAUGAGACUCUUAAUCUCAGGGUGAGCUUCCCUGGUGGCUCACCAGAGGGUAAAGCGUCUGCCUGCAAUGAGGGAGACCCAGGUUCAAUCCCUGGGUUGGGAA